AACGGCCGUACCAUGCUGAAUAUACCGGUUCUCGUUAGAUCACCGAAGUCAAGCAUCAUUGGGCGCGGUCAGUACUUGGAUGGGUGACCACCUGGGAACACCGCGUGCCGU
rnacentral:rRNA from 1 species